GCCUGUUAGCAACUUGGGUAAUUGCCAAUGGGAAAAUGCAUUGAAAACAAAAAAAGUAGCUAAUAUAGUAGUAGGCAACUUUGGUUUCGAGAAAUGCACCCCUGAGGUGUAUUAAGCACUUGUGUAUCUACUGUAAUUGGAUACAGAGGAAUAGCUGGAGUAUAAACUGUUGAAAUAUAAUGUACUAGUGUUAUAAUAACGUCAGCUAGAGUACUUCUAAUUCCAGUUGAUGCUCCUAUAAAUAACAGUUGCCAAUUAUCUAAGCUACUUGGUCGGUUGCAAUGUAAGUACUACUUCAUUAAGGUUACCAACUGGCUAGUAACUACGGUGUUGGGAACUUCAGAAUCUUCUGAUAUCUCCGAUCACUACGAAAACCCAAAGUAUUUAUUGAAAGGUAAGAAAACAAAAGAUGUCCGUAACAGGUUUCCUUUUCAUCGACGUGCAUGUGGUUGGAUACCAGGAGUGCAACUUAAUAUGGGACCUUGCCUCCUCCACUCGCUUCUCGUCAUGAUGACAUCACUGACAACAGCAUUAUAUUUCAAUAUCUUGCAAAAGCUCAAUUGUAGUCUUUUCCUCGUUUGCAAGUGUUAUGGUGAAUGAAAAACAGUCCCUCAAAAGUUGUUGUGGCUAGGCUGACAGCUGGGAAACUUUAUCGUUUUCUCCACGGAGGAGGGGCCAGGAGGCGGAGCGAGGAGACAAGCGCAAGUGGAGGAGGCAAGGCCGCAUAUUAAAUUAAGUGCAUGUGGUUGUAUACCGGAUGUCCAUGAAGAGAUUUGAACACGAGCGCCCUCUGCUGGAUUUGAAGCCACAUGCGAGUGUGCUGUCUGGCUGGACAGGCGGCAGGGGCGGUUCUAAGGGGUGGCAUUUGCCCCCCCAGAAAUAUGAUUUGCCACCCCAAUUAAGAGCCCUGAUUGUGACCAAUAGCCUUAAUGCUUGACAUAAUUUCAGACAUAGAACUUUAGGUUGCAGGGUUUCACUUUACGGGAUUCACUGUAUCACACAAGUGUGUGUGUCGAUUAUAUAGCGUUUAUAAUUGUCCCUUAGUGUAGGAGCAUGCCCCCCUGAAAUACACUUCGCCACCCCAAGAAUGAAUAUCUGGAACCGCCCCUGCCAGGCGGGUGUGCUGGCUGCGAUGUCCUUUGGCUGGGUGUGCUGUCUGGCUGGACAGGCGAGGGGUGCCCUGGCCGCGACGUCCUUUGGCUGGGUAUUACCAAACCAUGAAGCUGUACCAUAGAUGGAUCAUGAAGAUUUUAGAUUAAGAUCAUAUAAUGCCUUAUAUGACGAUUUCUCGUGUGUGCAACUGAGGCUGAACGAUAAUUAUGGACAUUCCUACCAACUUCUUUAUAACAAAAUAUAUUAAUCUGAAGGGGCAAAUAGACAUGUUAUUAGAACAUGCUAAAAUUUGUUUUAGAUGCUUGACACAAUUUUUAAGUUCAACAAUUUUUUAAGUUUCACAAUUCAAUUUUUAAGUCAUACCAAAUGAAGCAUGGCUCUCUAAAUAUGUGGGCAUCAAGAAUGGGCAUUUAAGCAUUAUCCGGAACUGGCAUGUGUCUUAUGUUGACCAAGAUUAACAGACUGUAUUAUAGUAAUUUAUUUCAAUUCAUGUGUACCUGCAUAGCUAAAUAAAACCAUUGAUACAACUUGAAUGUGUGAGAGUGCUUCUAUUAACAGGUGAAUACAGUAGUCUCCAAGUCUUCCACUUUCUUAACGUCUGCUUUCAAAGCAACGGCUUUCAUAGAUUCACCUUUUGCCGUUAAUAAUUCUAGAAAUUAAUAAUCUCAUUUUAUAGCUUCACCAGCCUAAUCAGAGAGAAUCAGACAGCCAGCAGUGGGAAUUUUAAGUAAAAUGUCUUUUCAUCGUGAUUUCAGUGUGCACUUGCACGUGGUGAAGUUGUAAAGAGACACUGUGCAGGAAAUGGUCAAAAAAGGUACUGCAACUAUGCUGCUCAUUGAAACUGUGCUGCCAAUUGCCAAAUUUGAGCUUUACAUGAAAGUUUUCUAAGUAAUAAACAAAUAUUUUCUAGUAUGGUCCAAGUACAGUCAUUUUUGCAGCUAAGUGCCAUUUUUCCAGUCAUAAUGAAUACUUAAAAUUUGAUGCUGGUGGUAAGUAUUUAUGAAAAAGGUAACAUUAGUGAAUGGGCAGCAUGAAUUCUGUAAAUAAACAACUAAAAAUCUCACACAGUGUCCCUUUAAAGAGAGACAGAACGAGGCCGAGACAGAUGAGUUGAACAGAGGAGAGAGAGGAAGAGCGUAAAGGGACAGAGUUAGAGUUUAUUGUUUCGCAUGCCACAGAAGAAGAAGAACGCAGUGGGUUCAGAGGUCAGAGGUCAGGGGUCAGGAGAACAACACAAGUACUACACACACAGGACACACUGACAGGGAAAUCCACUUGGUAGAAAAUGAACUUAGUUUAAUCAUCGAACCACUUCCAAACUAGACUGAAAUUUUACAUUUUACUAAAGAUGUAAAAACUCCAAACAAAAUAAGAAAAUAUACAGAAGCUCAGAUCACCCCCCCCCACCCCUAGAAGCUCAGAUCGCACAAUCAAAAGAGGGGGUUUAGGGGUUUCACUUGGUGACGGAGCGGAGAAGAAAGCUGCACAAGCCGUAACCGGCCUUCCCCUCCCUCCGUAUAAAGGGCGUGGAGCACACAGGAAAUGGGAAAUGGGGCGUUGGGGAUUUGAAAUGGGGAGUUGGGGAUUUGAAAUGGGGAGUUGGGGAUUUGGGGAGUUGGAUUACAGGUUCAGGAGGGAAAAAAGUCCGUAGUUGGAAAAUGUGGAGCGAGGGUUGUUGAGGAGAGACAUGUUUGCCGCUGCAGAGUAAGGUAAGACUAAAGAGGGUUGUUGAGACAUGUUUGCCGCUGCAGAGUAAGGUAAGACUAAAGAGGGUUGUUGAGACAUGUUUGCCGCUGCAGAGUAAGGUAAGACUAAAGGCACGUUGACGCUGGUCCCUACAGUCCUCUUCCCCUGGUGCACGCUAGACCCUCCGCUGGUCACCACGGGGUCAUCCCUAUGGUUACCACGGGGUCAUCCCUAUGGUUACCACGGGGUCAUCCCUAUGGUUACCAUGGGGUCAUCCCUAUGGUUACCACGGGGUCAUCCCUAUGCUCCCCUGGUGCACGCUAGACCCUCCGCUGGUCACCAUGGGGUCAUCCCUAUGGUUACCACGGGGUCAUCCCUAUGGUUACCACGGGGUCAUCCCUAUGGUCACCACGGGGUCAUCCCUAUGGUUACCACGGGGUCAUCCCUAUGUUUCCCGGGUCCUAUGUUCCCCUCUACAAGUAGAGUGGGAGGGGGAGGGGCUUAGCCAACAACCCAAGUAGAGUGGGAGGGGCUUCAAACAACCUAUUCAGCGCCACCUUAUUUUUUUGUAUCUAAAAACAGAAAUCACGCAAACAGCGCGACACAUAAGCCAAACCCAUACAAAGAAAAAAAAAGAAAAAAAAACCCCCCAAAAACCCAACUAGAUCCAGCUUUCGAAGAAUUUUUUAAAACUAUGAAACCCUUUUAAUUAAAUUAAAAAGUGGGUGUUGUUUAACUUCAUCUCCUUUUAGAGUAAAGGCCAACCAAAACUAAAAUCAGCCCCCCUGUCCUGUCAGGGCUUCCGUGGGACCUCCAAUAAUAAUCCCCGUUUGCCGUCUCUAUCUCAUCUGCUGCACCUGCUAACAGGCUGGGGAGGAGGUGGGUUCACUGCCCCUGGGUUGGGGACAGGGCGGCCAUAGGCCAAACCCAAUGGUUGGGUUAAGGGACAGUCACAUAACCCCAUAGUUGGGUUGGGGAUAGUAUCAUAACCCCAUAGUUGGGUUGGGUAGGGAGCAGUAGCAUGGUGGUGGGAGAACAGAUUGCGUGGCUUACACCACCGCAGCGCGUCUCACAUCACAUGACUUAUCACAUGACUUAUCACAUGACUUAUCACACGACCAAUCGUCUUCACAACACGAGCAGGAAGCAAAAACGAUGACGCUAUUUUGCUGGGUAUUAAAGGCACUUUAGUCAAUCCAUUCUUACUUAGUGAAACGAAGCAAAGGGGGAAAACCCACUAAUAUCCAGGGACCACUGUUGUCGUCUCCACAGCCAAACACAGAGAGGAGAGGAGGGAGAGAUAGAGAGAGAUACGACCACAAAAAUAAAUCACAGGAAAGGGCUUUUUUCUGUUUCUUUUUUUUUUAAACAGCUGGGAGAUGAGCAUGGCAGCGAGAGGGGACAUGAAACAGGAGCGAUGUCUGCAGUAUCGAGACUCAGGAGCGAUGUCUGCAGUAUCGAGACUCAGGAGCGAUGUCUGCAGUAUCGAGACUCAGGAGCGAUGUCUGCAGUAUCGAGACUCAGGAGCGAUGUCUGCAGUAUCGAGACUCAGGAGCGAUGUCUGCAGUAUCGAGACUCAGGAGCGAUGUCUGCAGUAUCGAGACUCAGGAGUGAUGUCUGCAGUAUCGAGACUCAGGAGCGAUGUCUGCAGUAUCGAGACUCAGGUGCAGAAAAGGGGAAAAAAGAAA